rnacentral:snRNA from 1 species
AUCGCUUCUCGGCCUUUUGGCUAAGAUCAAGUGUAGUAUCUGUUCUUAUCAGUUUAAUAAAGGAAAUGACAGGAACCAUAGAACCCUCUUAAUAGAUACAGAAAAAGCAUUUGACAAAAUACAGCAUCCUUUCUUGAUAAAAUCCCUCAAGGAAGUAGGGAUAGAAGGAACAUACCUCAA